AUACGUAGGGGGCGAGCGUUGUCCGGAAUGAUUGGGCGUAAAGGGCGCGUAGGCGGCCCGGUAAGUCUGGAGUGAAAGUCCUGUUUUUGAGAUGGGAAUUGCUUUGGAUACUGUCGGGCUUGAGUGCAGGAGAGGUAAGUGGAAUUCCCAGUGUAGCGGUGAAAUGCGUAGAGAUUGGGAGGAACACCAGUGGCGAAGGCGACUUACUGGACUGUUACUGACGCUGAGGCGCGAAAGUGUGGGGAGCAAACAGGAUUAGAUACCCUGGUAGUCCACACUGUAAACGAUGAAUGCUAGGUGUAGGGGGUAUCGACCCCUUCUGUGCCGCAGUCAACACAAUAAGCAUUCCGCCUGGGGAGUACGGCCGCAAGGUUGAAACUCAAAUGAAUUGACGGGG
rnacentral:rRNA from 1 species